CAGCCGCCGCGGUAAUACGAAGGGGGCUAGCGUUGCUCGGAAUGACUGGGCGUAAAGGGCGCGUAGGCGGUGCGGAUAGUCAGAUGUGAAAUCCCUGGGCUUAACCUGGGGGCUGCAUUUGAUACGUCCGCGCUUGAGUGUGGAAGAGGGUCGUGGAAUUCCCAGUGUAGAGGUGAAAUUCGUAGAUAUUGGGAAGAACACCGGUGGCGAAGGCGGCGACCUGGUCCAUAACUGACGCUGAGGCGCGAAAGCGUGGGGAGCAAACAGGAUUAGAUACCCGGGUAGUCCCUGUCUCUUAUAC
rnacentral:rRNA from 1 species